ACCUUGGUGGUUCAGCGGUAGAAUUCUCACCUUCUGCAUGGGAGACCUGGGUUUGAUUCCCAGCCAGUGCA
rfam:Loxodonta africana unplaced genomic scaffold scaffold_6, whole genome shotgun sequence.